rnacentral:rRNA from 1 species
CCUACGGGCGACAGCAGUGAGGAAUAUUGGUCAAUGGACGCAACUCUGAACCAGCCAUGCCGCGUGCAGGAAGACGGCUCUAUGAGUUGUAAACUGCUUUUGUGCGGGGAUAAACGCAGAUACGCGUGGCUGACUGAAAGUAUCGUACGAAUAAGGAUCGGCUAACUCCGUGCCAGCAGCCGCGGUAAUACGGAGGAUUCAAGCGUUAUCCGGAUUUAUUGGGUUUAAAGGGUGCGUAGGCGGUCGGUUAAGUUAGAGGUGAAAUCCCGAGGCUCAACUUCGGAAUUGCCUCGGAAACUGUGCGGCUAGAGAGUAGUUGAGGUAGGCGGAAUGUAUGGUGUAGCGGUGAAAUGCUUAGAGAUCAUACAGAACACCGAUUGCGAAGGCAGCUUACCAUG